rnacentral:lncRNA from 1 species
UGCCGCAUCGGCUCUAUUGCCAGAGGAUCUUGCACUGGCAAGUCCCAGUGAGGUGGGUCCCAAUGAGGUGGGUCCAAGUGAGACGGGUCUGAGUGGUAUUAUUAUAUUUUUUAUAUAAUAAAAUUUGAUUCUUUUAUUUGGAUAGCUAUUAUACUAAUAAUUUAUUUAUUAUUGUUUCAGACCAGUCUUCAUCGGUAGUGAGGCGAGGGCGAGGUUCAUUGAAGAACCUUGCUCUAGAGCGUUGGAGACACGAGCACCUGGGAUAGCACCUCCGUAUCGAGAUACCAUCCAGCUACACUAGGCCCAUUAGGGG